UGGGGAAUAUUGCACAGUGGAGGGAACUCUGAUGCAGCGACGCCGCGUGAGUGAUGAAGGAAUUCGUUUCGUAAAACUCUGUUCUAUGGGAAGAAAAGGACUGUACCAUAGGAGAAAGCUCCGGCUAAAUACGUGCCAGCAGCCGCGGUAAUACGUAUGGAGCGAGCGUUGUCCGGAAUUAUUGGGCGUAAAGGGUGCGCAGGCGGCUUUACAAGUUGGAUGUGAAAUAUUGUGGCUCAACCACAAACGUGCAUCCAAAACUGCAAAGCUUGAGUUAAGGAGAGGUAAGUGGAAUUCCUGGUGUAGCGGUGGAAUGCGUAGAUAUCAGGAGGAAUACCGGUGGCGAAGGCGACUUACUGGACUUAAACUGACGCUCAGGCACGAAAGCGUGGGGAGCAAACAGG
rnacentral:rRNA from 1 species